UACGGGGGGGGGCAAGCGUUGUUCGGAAUUACUGGGCGUAAAGGGCUCGUAGGCGGCCAACUAAGUCAGACGUGAAAUCCCUCGGCUUAACCGGGGAACUGCAUCUGAUACUGGAUGGCUUGAGUUCGGGAGAGGGAUGCGGAAUUCCAGGUGUAGCGGUGAAAUGCGUAGAUAUCUGGAGGAACACCGGUGGCGAAGGCGGCAUCCUGGACCGGUAUUGACGCUGAGGCGCGAAAGCCAGGGGAGCAAAGCGGG
rnacentral:rRNA from 1 species